ACAAGUAGUCAGAGCCCGUUAAUGGGUGAUGGCGUGCCUUUUGUAGAAUGAACCGGCGAGUUACGAUUUGAUGCAAGGUUAAGCAGUAAAUGUGGAGCCGUAGCGAAAGCGAGUCUGAAUAGGGCGUUUAGUAUUUGGUCGUAGACCCGAAACCAGGUGAUCUACCCUUGGUCAGGUUGAAGUUCAGGUAACACUGAAUGGAGGACCGAACCGACUUACGUUGAAAAGUGAGCGGAUGAACUGAGGGUAGCGGAGAAAUUCCAAUCGAACCUGGAGAUAGCUGGUUCUCUCCGAAAUAGCUUUAGGGCUAGCCUCAAGUGAUGAUUAUUGGAGGUAGAGCACUGUUUGGACGAGGGGCCCCUCUCGGGUUACCGA
rnacentral:rRNA from 1 species